UCAAGGUGCGAAACCUCUUCCACACACAGGAAGAAAGUGCUUGUCCUCUUCAAUCGGCAAUGGAAGUUUAUGCACAAGGGCUCGAUUUAGCCUGCGCAAGCACAAAGUUAAAGCCGCCUCUCAAGGAUCUCACUUAGCAGAAGAUAUUGGUUGUCUCAGUACUCGUCGGCGGAAUUUCAUUCGAAUGGAAUCGAUAUUGCAACUAUAUUAUGCAAAUCUUCAGACAUUUCAGUUUGAUUUUUAUGACCACCUAAUGUCGACGACAACAACCGACAGUGACAUGAUACCUGAGUGUGUUUGUGGUCGAGGCAAGAUGAAGUUGUUACGUGCUGGGAAAGAUGCCAAACACUGCGGUAGGUGGUUUUACAAGUGUCCGAAUGAUGCAAAUCAGUCGGGGUCUUUCUUGUGGUGUGACGACAAUCAUAGUAGGAUUGGUGAUGGUACGCAACCCGACUAUGUCUUGAACCAAACGUACCGCCCAACAAAAAUAGGCGCAACACCGAUGAGGUGAAGAAUAAAAGGAGAGCUAGCAGUGGACACGUUUGUGGAGUUUGUGACCGGUGCCAAGCUGAAAUUAAAAUGAACUUUGUGCUAGUUGUCAUGGGUUUGGUAUUGUUAUUGUUGGGGGUUAUUUUAGGGAAACUAUUCUAGUUUGCACUUGGGCUUAUUUUUAAAAUUGAAUUGUAGGAUUCCUUCACUGCAUGAACUUAUUGAUGGUGGUUUUUGUAUUUAAUCUAUUUAACUAUUUUGCAA